rnacentral:lncRNA from 1 species
AGGAAAUAAAUACCAAGAGACCUUUGUAAUCAUUUUGGAAGCUCUGUGAUUUUUCCAUGCUUAUUACCCGUUACCACCCCUGUUCAUGUUCUUGAAAAACCCAUAAAGAGAAGCGAGCACGUAUGCUUAUUUUGAAGGCCAACAAAAGGAAGCCGAAAACUCUGAGAACUCUGGGUAACUCUUCCACUGGGCUUGGGAAGUGGCAUCAAUGAAAAGGGAGUCUGGAGAUUCGAGAAAUUUGGGAAUGGGGAGGGCUGGGUUAAGAGCCAAGCUGGGAGGGAGGGAGGUCAGAGCCCAGGCCUGAGCUGGCAGAAGGCGGGAAUGGAGGCCCCCACAGGAGACCAUCACUCCCCUGUCAUGGUUCCAGACAAAAUACAGGAUGCCCAGGUAAGUUUCAAUUUCAAACAACAGCAAUUUUUGGUAUAAGUAUGUUCCAUGCACUAUUUGGGAUAUACUUAUACUAAGAAAUAAUCUGUUGUUCCUCUGAAAUUCAAAUAUAAUUAGGAAUCCUAUAUUUUUAUUUGCUAACUCUGGCACCCUUGUUCACAUUUUUUUUUGCCAGUCCUUCAAUCUCAUUGCACCACAGUGUGAUCAGGGGCUGCAUCAGUCCCAUACAGGAGAGGAGGAUGGCUCAGAAAGCAGCCAGCUGUAUUUCAAAUGAAUUCCUACCAGAGAUCUGCAGGCCCCAGGACAGAAUCCUUAUCUAGGCAAAGAAGUGCUAUAUGGGAGAAGAAUGCUUCCAACCUUGGAGUCAACUCUUUGACUCACUUCCUAGAUUGGCAAUCCUCAGCAAGUUGUAUGGUACCACUGAUACAGUUUUCUCAUCUGUAAAAUGGAGAAAAUGAUACCUCCUACUUUGCAAACGUUAAAUGGCAUUCCAAGCACAGUGCCAAGAUAAAUUGCUUGACAACAUGAUAGGGAUAGUUUCUACUAUUCUGUUCAUAAGGUACACUUCUUUUUAGGGCACACUACCUUGGGUAAUGCUCAACGAAUGAAAAUCAGUCCCAGUGCUUUCCACUGGAUAUUCUAAGGAGUGUUUUGAACUAAUCUUGUUCCCUUGAAGUUCCUGGAGUUUGUUAGCAGAUGUAAGUAGUAUGGAGUAAGUUCAUACCUCUCAAAAAGCACUAUAAUUUAGGACCUGCUUGGUCAUUUCCCUAAAACAGAGCCAAGAAAGCACCUAACUCCUCACCCCACAUAGACCAGGGAGAGACUCAAAGCAUCACUGAGUCUCAUAGUUGUAACACCUCUAGCAAAGAAGUGCAGACAUUCUUCUGGCUAAAUCUAAAUCUAAGCUGGGAGGGCAUGCAGCCUGCUUCCUCCCUACAUUCCUCUAAUAAACUCAGAUUCCCCAAGAUUAAGUGUGUUGCCAAAGAAUUUCAAGGCACAUAAAGGUGAAGCUUGGCAUUUGCAAAGGAGAAAUUACUGUUAGCUUUACUAAAAAUUUGAUGUUGCUUAAAUCUGUUCAUCUUUAUCUGGACCACUGUGUUACAAAAACACACAAAUUAUCAGAGUUUUAGCUUCAUUUCUUUGGCUCUGAUUUUAGUGGGAACAAAGAGAAGUUCAUCUGGAGAUGGAGAGCAGUCAGCUACAGGCAGGGUGAUGAUGGGAGUCAUCAAGGAUGCUCAGACUUGUGUUCUUGUGUUCCAUCCACAGCAUACUAAGGAAACCAAAGCUGCUGCCAACUUUUCUUCCACUCUCAUGUUAGGAGGGAGUUGACUGAGUGAUCAUCAAAAAUGCAGAAAGAACAGAAGCCCAAUAAUACCAGUACUUUAUUUCUCUCUAGAAGACCAUGUCACAGAGUAGUAGUGUUGCAGAAAAAGACCCCAUGAGGCCUAUUCCUGACUUUGUUCUGUGAGCCCUCAGGAAAACCCCAAUUUCUCAGAGCUCUUCAUCCCUCAUGUGUAAAAGGAGACUCCAAGUAGUCUCCAUUGUGCCUACCACAAUGUUUGUGGUGAGGAUCAAAUGAGAUAAUGUGAAACGUUGAUAUGCCCCAGAACUCCACCCUCAACCCUGCUUUUUUAAUAUGUAGUCUCUGUAUGUCAACUUGUCACCAUUAUGAAUGAUGGGCUGCUAAAUGACUGAUCAAUUGUAUUUCCCACUGCCUAAUGGAUGUUCCAGUAUCUUAUGGCUGGUAAAUUAAAAACUGAACCCAUUCAGAACUGCCUCUCAUGCUCAUGAUGCAUCCAGACUGAGCAAGGGUCUUGAACAGUCCCCCCACACCAAGAGUCCUACAUUUCCCACACCAGAUUUCUCCAGGCUUUCAAGGAACAACAUGGACACUUGUUACCUUAAAGACAUCCAGAAUCUUGGAUAGUGCAGGGGCAUCAUCCAUCAGCUCUUGUAAGUGUGUAGACAGUGCAUCUCUACAUACACCAACCACAACCGGCUCAUUCUCAGCAAGGCUCCUUACAACAACAACCAAAAAACCCCAGAAUCCUGUGAAAGCAAUACCUGGACUUGGAGGAUGGACCUGAAAUUCUGUCUCUUGUUUCAUGAAAAAAAAAAAAAAAAAAUCUCUGGAUUUAAGGACAACCAAUAAAAAAACUGGCAGGUUGAGUAAAACUGCAUGUGUUCUCCUACUCUAAUAUAUUCUAUUCCUUGUGAUGAGGAACAAAGCUGAUGCUGAACACAGAAAUCUCGUAGGUGCUUGGAUUCUGACUCUCUAAGUGGUGUAAGCAGGACUACAUUGAGGAAUGACUGUAAGAUGUAAGAUGAGGCAAGGAUUCUGUUUAAUCCCCUGUGGAAUUCCCAGUAUUGAUGGCAAUGUCAAGAACAUAGUAGGUGGUGAGAAAAUAUUUUUGAACGAAUAAAUGAGGGUAAUGUUUUCAAACUGGACCACUAGGUUCACGAGAACACUGCAGAUUUGAUGUUCACAAAUGUUACAUUCCAUCUUGAGAUUCAUAGCCAGGAUGGUGUUAUUCUCAUGGGCUGUAUAACUUUUUUGCUCACUUGGCAAAUUACUUCUCAAACUCCUACAUAAACUCGUAGUUCUACUGUUGGACAGUUUUCAAGGUUAAAAUUCCCGCAUUGUGGGCCUUGUAGCUUUCAUGUCUUAAUGCUUAUUUUCUGUGUUUUAUGAGGAGCCAUUUCAAAGAUAAUGGUAACCAGUGAUUCUUUGCCUCCUCAGAAGAUAAUUAAGAGCCAACAGACAAAUUGAAUCUUGGCGUUUGAAUUAACAGCAGGAGAUAAAUACAUCCCGAAAUGUUUGAAUGUUAAAUUGUAAGGGUGUUGUUGAAUUGCAAACAGGAACUCAGUUUCAGACAUGUGAAGCUUGUUGGAUGCCAGCUGAUAUUAUUACUAUUUAGAGCUAAAGAAAGAAAAACAAGUUGGAGAUAUAAAUGCUAAAACAUACAGAUAUUGAGAACUAUGAAAUGGAAUGAAAUCCCAGAGACUGUGGCUACACAAGAGAGGAAUUCCAGAAAUUGAGCUUUAAAACACCCAAUAUUUGGAUGUCAGGGAGAUGAGAAGGUACUGACUCAGAGACUGAAGCAGAAUGGCCAGGAGAUGAGGGAAUGUAGUGCACUGGCAGCCAGUGAAGAGAGUUUUACAGUGAGAUAGGAGUGAUCAACUUGUUAGCUAAUGACUCACCAAGGAAGAUAAGAACUGAGAAUUCCCCAUUGGCUCUAUCAACAUGGAGACCACUGAUUAUUUUGAUAAUACAAUUUUAAUGGAGUGGUAGUGUGAAUGCUUGAUUGGAGGGAAUUCAAGAGAGACGGGAGGAGGGAAACUGGAGAUAGAAAGUAUACUCAUGUUGUUUGAGAAACAUGAGGAAUUGGCUGUAAAGGGAAAGAGAGAAGUAGCCAGAGAGGGAAACGAUGUCAGGAGAAAUGCCGAUUUGCCAUCCAGGUUGUCACACACGAAGAGUGGUGGUACAGUAAAAGGUCAGGGCACAGGCUCUCUCUCCCACGUGCUCAUUUUAAACCCUGGCCUCACCUCUUACUACUUGUGUGAACUUGGGCAAGUCCUUUACCCUCUCUGUGGCCUGGUGCUUGGCUUCUUUACCUUCCACAUG